CAUGCACCAGUGGGGUCCCUCAGCCUGGUCUGUGCCCUCUCACAAUCCAGGACCCCUUGGGGGAUUUCAGAGAGCUGGUUUCGGCCCAAUCCCACAGGCCAGGCCGAGGGACCCCACUGGUGCACA
rnacentral:pre_miRNA from 1 species